GGCAAAGCAAUCAAAGAAGGAAUAAUGGAAGUCCUUUAUGUUUUACAGUCCUUAUUGGGAAUGUUCUCUUAUUCAAACUUUUAUAUUCUACUGACCAAUUUUGAAUGUUUGUAUCAACAUCAGAAACAACACUUUUUGUUUGCUCCUUUAGUGCGCCGGAGGCAUGCAGCAAGACGGUUACUGAAGAGAUGAUGUCUAUAAAGGUGCACUUGUGCAUGUGCAUGCGCUCGUGUGCAUACUGACUGACGCAGAUGCUGCUCUGGACGCUCGGUACAUGAUGUUCAGACUUCCUCCCCAUCAGGACUUCCAGUUACCAUUCAUCUGUUUCACCGGAAACCAAACGAGUGUCAAAGCUCAAAUGCAGACUUUGGCCAAAAGGAUUCUUAGUUGUAAUAAAAACUGUUCCGCAGAAGAAAAAUCAACUUUAGUAAAAUAAAAUAAA